rnacentral:tRNA from 1 species
GUGGCGGAAUGGUAGACGCGGCGGCCUCAAAAGCCGCUGUUCGCAAGGACGUGCGGGUUCGAGUCCCGCCCCCGGUA